AUUGAACGCUGGCGGCAGGCUUAACACAUGCAAGUCGAGUGGGGUGAUGGUGCUUGCACUAUCACUUAGCGGCGGACGGGUGAGUAAUGCUUAGGAAUCUGCCUAUUAGUGGGGGACAACAUCUCGAAAGGGAUGCUAAUACCGCAUACGUCCUACGGGAGAAAGCAGGGGAUCACUUGUGACAUUGCGCUAAUAGAUGAGCCUAAGUCGGAUUAGCUAGUUGGUGGGGUAAAGGCCUACCAAGGCGACGAUCUGUAGCGGGUCUGAGAGGAUGAUCCGCCACACUGGGACUGAGACACGGCCCAGACUCCUACGGGAGGCAGCGGUGGGGAAUAUUGGACAAUGGGGGGAACCCUGAUCCAGCCAUGCCGCGUGUGUGAAGAAGGCCUUAUGGUUGUAAAGCACUUUAAGCGAGGAGGAGGCUCUUUUGGUUAAUACCCAAGAUGAGUGGACGUUACUCGCAGAAUAAGCACCGGCUAACUCUGUGCCAGCCGCCGCCGUAAAAC
rnacentral:rRNA from 1 species